AAGAUUUAGACGAAGACGUUGUGAUGUUUAUUUUAAAAUUACUGGAUUGAGUAUAAAAUGCUAAAAUGUUACAAACGAUAUCAAACUAUAAUGUACUAAGUGGGUAAAAUAGAUAGCUGCCAAGCCUCUAUUGUCACUAGAAAAUAAAAGAUUGUUACAUUUCUAAGUGUCACCAGAAACUGAUUUGGAAGAUGCUGCCUGUAAUAUUCACAGUUCUGCGAACAUAUGCACCGUAUAUUACUUUACCCGUGGCAGCUGUGAUAGGAUUUAUUGGCUACAAAAUUGAAGGAGUUCUCUCUGACAGAUACACGCCGUAUGAAAAGAGUAUUGAAGAGAAGAGGGAAGAUAGGUUUGUGGAAGAGAGUUUGAAGAAAAAUACAAUGGAAUUUGAGAGUUUGAAAACAAAGAGGUUUGCCCCAUUCAGCGUGUUGCAGAAGAAUGUAUCGCCAUCCUUGGUUGUAGAAGACAAAUAAAUAGUUUAACACAUUUUGGUAGGAGAAUGUAAAAAUUGUAAAUAAAAUAAGUUUUGAAGAUUAUUUGUGAAUGCAACUUGUUACCACUGUGAACGCUGUUAACAGUAUUGUCUUUUUCUAAGUGUUUUAUGCUAUAGUGUAAAUAAAAUAAAUUAAGUUUUUGAUCACUAUUUUUAAGCUUCAUACCUAGACUACUUGAUAAUAUUGCAAAGAAAAAAUUUAUUUCUGUUGGUUUGUGCAGCAGAACUGGAUGUUCCUGCAAGCAUUAAUUAGUAUACUGAAAUUUCCAACUUUAUUAAAUCAUGGUUACUUUUAAAAUGUAAAGUAGAAUAUUUGUUCCUAGCUCUGAAAAGAUUUUUAAUUUCAAAUUUAUUUUUAAUCAGAUUGAUGAAUCAAAUUGAAAUCUGCAAUUUCCACUCAGUGCAAACCUAUCAACUGCAUUGUCAGUUUUUUUAGGAAUGUCACAAUGAUUUGCUUACACUUUCAUCCUGUACUCAAGCUAGCUUAUGGGGUGUCAAGUUUGGUUGAGACAUGCAAAAAAAGUGCCAUCCAUUGGGGUGCUUUGGAGAAUGGCGCUUACUAAAAGAUACCAUGUUUUCACAAAGAAUUUUAAAACCCUUUGUAACAUAAAUUAGAUAUAAAAACUAUCUUAUUGGUGUAGCAAUUUUUCUAACUUAUCCUCACCAAAAUGGACGGUCUGAAGUGGGUCUGUGGCUUCCCCUUGGAUCUGACACUGCUUGGGACAUAACAUAUACUUAGAUGCAAAUAAAAUUUUCACACUUGACAUUUAGUGCCAUUUAGUACUGUCGUAAAGUACCUUUUUGUGGAAAGUCUGUGUAUUUACUGUCAAUGUGUCUGCUUCCACCGCCUGGGAAUACGCUUAGUUAAACAACCCUGAGUGUUAUAAAGGCAAUAUUUACACUUUAUAGAAAGUAAAUAUUUAAUUUCCUUUAAUAUUUAUUUUGUUUAAUUACAUUUUAUUUUGUAUGUUUAUAUUUGUAAUCUAUGAUUAAUUCAGACUGUAAAUUUCUUUGGUUAACGUUUUGUCUAUGUAUUACUCUAUGUUAAUUUUUAUUUUAAAAUAUUGUCAAGGCUAGCAUAGCAGUAUUUUUUUGAUACCACUAUUAAUUUAAAGAUGAACACGUCAGUAAUGGUUAGUAAUUCUACUAGUUUUGUUUUAUCAACAAACUAAAGAAAAUCGUUUACUAGUGACGGGAAAAAAUAUUCUUUUAGAACGAAUUGAGACUUGAUUAAGACAACAGAUAGAACGCAACGAUUUUAACAUUAAUUUAUAGUUGAAUAUUUAUAGAAGAUUGAAAAUGGUUAUUAAUGCCAAUAUCGACUGAGAUUUUGAAGGAAAUAAUAAUUUUAAUCGACGAAGAUAAGACUCAGACGUCAAGAUUUUAAAUAAUUACUUAAGAAGAGAAGUCGACAAAUAUCCAUGUUCAAGAGAUCGUCAAAUGACUUUAAUUUGCUUUGAACUACGAAGAAUAAAUGUCGUUUACAAUUCCGAAGAAAGAAGAAUCCUGUCGAAGAUUGAAAAGUCGCAGUUCAAGCCCGGGAAGGAUGACCGUCGCGCAGUCCAGCCCAGUUGCAGCCCAUAGUCUGAAGGAUGUAGUCGUGACGGCGCGUAUUCCUGCCGCACGCUAGAGAACGGAGGAGCAACACCAAGUUCGCAGUCCUGGAUGAGUCGAACCAAGGAUUCUCUGAGAACCUACACGUCUCGUGGGUAUCCUGCAGCAAGGUUUGGUCCCUUACCCCAUCACCCGAAGACUCGCUGAAUGUAGAAGUACCCUAACGAAUUACAAUUUAAACAAGACGAACAUUUUUCGCAGAACUAAGACUCUUUUAUAUUAUAGAGCAUAUUCUUUGUACAGAAAAACCGAUUAACUUGUUCAUCUUUAGAUUUACAAAUCAAAUUCCGGAAUCGCGAUCCCGAACUAGAUAAUAUUAGCUAGUAUAGAUGGAAUUUGAUAUUGGAAGAACGUAUUGCUAUUUUGGUUGACUGGUACUGCAAGUUACAUACCCAGUAGUCCACGCUCUACCGGACUGAAGUUAGUUAAAAUAAAUAACAUCCAAAUAAUUAACAUUUGAUCGUAAAGAUAAUUCACUCAAGUGAAAGAAUUGUUAGAUGCUUUGAAGUUGAGAGUAAUAACAUAUUCCAUCUGUAGUUUAAAAUAAAUUAUUUUAGUUAAGUUUAUUUAUAUAAAGUGUGAUUUUGUGCAUGUCAAAGUGUAUUGUCACCGUCUUCACAAACAUUACACACAAAUAUAAAUAUUACAUUUGAA